rnacentral:rRNA from 1 species
UGGCUAACUCCUACGGGAGGCAGCAGUAGGGAAUAUUGGACAAUGGGCGCAAGCCUGAUCCAGCCAUGCCGCGUGAGUGAAGAAGGCCUUCGGGUUGUAAAGCUCUUUUGUCCGGAAAGAAAAGCAUCCAGUUAAUACCUGGGUGUCCUGACGGUACCGGAAGAAUAAGCACCGGCUAACUUCGUGCCAGCAGCCGCGGUAAUACGAAGGGUGCAAGCGUUACUCGGAAUUACUGGGCGUAAAGCGUGCGUAGGUGGUUUGUUAAGUCUGAUGUGAAAGCCCUGGGCUCAACCUGGGAAUGGCAUUGGAUACUGGCAGGCUAGAGUGCGGUAGAGGGUAGUGGAAUUCCCGGUGUAGCAGUGAAAUGCGUAGAGAUCGGGAGGAACAUCUGUGGCGAAGGCGACUACCUGGACCAGCACUGACACUGAGGCACGAAAGCGUGGGGAGCAAACAGGAUUAGAAACCCCUGUAGUCCAGCUGG